GACGAACGCUGGCGGCGUGCUUAACACAUGCAAGUCGAACGGAAAGGCCCUGCUUUUGUGGGGUGCUCGAGUGGCGAACGGGUGAGUAACACGUGAGUAACCUGCCCUUGACUUUGGGAUAACUUCAGGAAACUGGGGCUACUACCGGAUAGGAGCUCCUGCUGCAUGGUGGGGGUUGGAAAGUUUCUGCGGUUGGGGAUGGACUGGCGGCUUAUCAGCUUGUUGGUGGGGUAGUGGCUUACCAAGGCUUUGACGGGUAGCCGGCCUGAGAGGGUGACCGGCCACAUUGGGACUGAGAUACGGCCCAGACUCCUACGGGAGGCAGCAGUGGGGAAUAUUGCACAAUGGGCGGAAGCCUGAUGCAGCAACGCCGCGUGCGGGAUGACGGCCUUCGGGUUGUAAACCGCUUUCGCCUGUGACGAAGCGUGAGUGACGGUAAUGGGUAAAGAAGCACCGGCUAACUACGUG
rnacentral:rRNA from 1 species